CCACUCCCCAAAUGCCAUCAACAGCCAUAGAUGGCGCAGCCUGAAGCCAGGAGCCCAGAACUCAAUCAUAGGUCUCCCACAUGGUUGGCAAGGACCUGAGUACGACAGCUAUACUGCUGCCUAAGAUCCAGAAACUCUUUCUUGUCCUGCCUGGAGCUGUUUCCUGUAUUCAUUUGGACGCUUCUUUACCUGGCCUUGACUACUCUCCUCACACUGCCUAGACUUCAACUGCACUUACUGCCAGAGUGAGACCAAACAUCUGAAAAG